GACGAACGCUGGCGGCGUGCUUAACACAUGCAAGUCGAACGGAAAGGCGCUGCUUUUGUGGGGUGCUCGAGUGGCGAACGGGUGAGUAACACGUGAGUAACCUGCCCUUGACUUUGGGAUAACUUCAGGAAACUGGGGCUAAUACCGGAUAGGAGCUCCUGCUGCAUGGUGGGGGUUGGAAAGUGUCGGCGGUUGGGGAUGGACUCGCGGCUUAUCAGCUUGUUGGUGUGGUAGUGGCUUACCAAGGCUUUGACGGGUAGCCGGCCUGAGAGGGUGACCGGCCACAUUGGGACUGAGAUACGGCCCAGACUCCUACGGGAGGCAGCAGUGGGGAAUAUUGCACAAUGGGCGGAAGCCUGAUGCAGCAACGCCGCGUGCGGGAUGACGGCCUUCGGGUUGUAAACCGCUUUCGAAUGUGACGAAGCGUGAGUGACGGUAAUGGGUAAAGAAGCACCGGCUAACUACGUG
rnacentral:rRNA from 1 species